rnacentral:rRNA from 1 species
AGUGAACGCUGGCGGUAGGCCUAACACAUGCAAGUCGAACGGCAGCACAGUAAGAGCUUGCUCUUACGGGUGGCGAGUGGCGGACGGGUGAGGAAUAAAUCGGAAUCUACUUUUUCGUGGGGGAUAACGUAGGGAAACUUACGCUAAUACCGAAUACGCCCUACGGGUGAAAGCAGGGGAUCUUCGGACCUUGCGCGAUUGAAUGAGCCGAUGUCGGAUUAGCUAGUUGGCGGGGUAAAGGCCCACCAAGGCGACGAUCCGUAGCUGGUCUGAGAGGAUGAUCAGCCACACUGGAACUGAGACACGGUCCAGACUCCUACGGGAGGCAGCAGUGGGGAAUAUUGGACAAUGGGCGCAAGCCUGAUCCAGCCAUACCGCGUGAGUGAAGAAGGCCUUCGGGUUGUAAAGCCCUUUUGUUGGGAAAGAAAAGCAGCAGGUUAAUACCCCGCUGUUCUGACGGUACCCAAAGAAUAAGCACCGGCUAACUUCGUG